rnacentral:rRNA from 1 species
UGGGGAAUCUUAGACAAUGGGCGCAAGCCUGAUCUAGCCAUGCCGCGUGAGCGAUGAAGGCCUUAGGGUUGUAAAGCUCUUUCAGCGAGGAAGAUAAUGACUGUACUCGCAGAAGAAGCCCCGGCUAACUCCGUGCCAGCAGCCGCGGUAAUACGGAGGGGGCUAGCGUUGUUCGGAAUUACUGGGCGUAAAGCGCACGUAGGCGGACUGGAAAGUCAGGGGUGAAAUCCCGGGGCUCAACCCCGGAACUGCCUUUGAAACUCCCAGUCUUGAGGUCGAGAGAGGUGAGUGGAAUUCCGAGUGUAGAGGUGAAAUUCGUAGAUAUUCGGAGGAACACCAGUGGCGAAGGCGGCUCACUGGCUCGAUACUGACGCUGAGGUGCGAAAGCGUGGGGAGCAAA